rnacentral:rRNA from 1 species
CCCUUAGAUGUUCUGGGCCGCACGCGUGCUACACUGAGUGGAUCAGCGGGUCAGGUUGCGCGAAAGCGUUUCCUAAUCUUUAAAUCCGCUCGUGAUGGGGAUUGACGGUUGCAAUUUUCUGUCAUGAACGAGGAAUACCUUGUAAGCGCGGGUCAUCAUCCCGCGCUGAAUACGUCCCUGCCCUUGUACACACCGCCCGUCGCUCCUACCGAUUGAGUGGUCCGGUGAGGCUUUGGGAUCUGAGCGGAAAGAGCGUUUCGCUGUUUCUGCUCGGAAAACUCAGUCGAACCUUAUCAUUUAGAGGAAGGAGAAGUCGUAACA